rnacentral:lncRNA from 1 species
AAAUUCAUACUAUUCUAUUCUUUCAAGAAAUCAGGUAAUGUAGAGUAUACUAUUUCAAAAUUAAGCAACUCCAAGUGUGUUUUUUUUUUCUUUUUCAAGUGUGUUGCUAUGCUAUCUUAACCAUUUAAAAUUGAUUCUUUCAACUUAUCAAUCUGACUUUUUUUUUUUAACAUGAUAUAUAUAUGGUGUAGCUAUGCAUGCCUAGCCGAUCCCUUAUGCAUGUGUAGUAACAAAAGUUU